rnacentral:rRNA from 1 species
GACGAACGCUGGCGGCGUGCUUAACACAUGCAAGUCGAACGGAAAGGCCCUGCUUUUGUGGGGUGCUCGAGUGGCGAACGGGUGAGUAACACGUGAGUAACCUGCCCUUGACUUUGGGAUAACUUCAGGAAACUGGGGCUAAUACCGGAUAGGAGCUCCUGCUGCAUUGUGGGGGUUGGAAAGUUUCGGCGGUUGGGGAUGGACUCGCGGCUUAUCCGCUUGUUGGUGGGGUAGUGGCUUACCAAGGCUUUGACGGGUAGCCGGCCUGAGAGGGUGACCGGCCACAUUGGGACUGAGAGACGGCCCAGACUCCGACGGGAGGCAGCAGUGGGGAAUAUUGCACAAUGGGCGGAAGCCUGAUGCAGCAACGCCGCGUGCGGGAUGACGGCCUUCGGGUUGUAAACCGCUUUCGCCUGUGACGAAGCGUGAGUGACGGUAAUGGGUAAAGAAGCACCGGCUAACUACGUG